CCUUUGUGGCUUUAGCGACUCCUGGCGCGCAGGCUUGCACUGGGCACCGCGCCCCGAGCCCGUGACACAGAGGGGAGUGUCCCUUCGUCUGCCCGCCUGCGAGGGGCUGAGGAGGCCUGGAGCUGGGCGCAGAGUUGCGGGGCCGGUCGUUUCCCUGUGAGGCUCUCCCCAGAAUCCCUGCUGCCUACGGGCAGUGGAGGAGCGGGCACGGAGGUCGCAGGUGCGGCUGUGGCCGUUUUUCCUGGUGCUCUGCGUGAGAGCUGGGUUCCAGAGCCUGGUCCCUAGGAGGAGAGCGGCGGAGCGGAGCCCGUGGGCGGAGGCCGGGCGCGUGAGGGGUGUGGGAGUGGGAGCGGGAGAAGAGCAUCGCCCCCGCAGCCAUGCUGCGCGCCGCUGGGAAGUGGACCCGGGUUUGACAGCCCUGCUCUGGGCGCUGCGGGUUGGCUGGGCGUGGCUGCCGGAGUGGGAAUGCCUGGUGUUACCCAGCUUGCUCCCCGCUCCCUGAACCCCGGGAGAACUGCAGGGACCCGGCCGAAGGACAGAGAUUUGGACCUAGUGAAAGGACAUCGCCCCUUAGCACGAGCUAUGGACUCCACAGCAUCAGUUCUCCCUUCUCAGGACCCUGCUCUUCCUCCAGAGAGAUGCCCAGGAGAAAAGGGAACAGCCAGCUUAUUCCUGAAAGCCAGGCCCCAGGACCUGAUGACAUUUGAGGAUGUGGCUGUGGAAUUCACCCGGUGGGAGUGGGGGCAGCUGGACCCUACUCAGAAGGACGUGUACCGGGAAGUGAUGCUGGAGAAUUUCAAGAACCUGGCCUCCCUGGGGUUUCCAAUGUCCAAACCGUAUGUCAUCUGCCGGUUGGAGGAAGGGGAAGAGCCCUGUAUUUUGGAGAGAGAAAUCUCAACAGGUGCCCCCGCAGACCACUGGCAAGAACUUAGACAUAGGACUAUGGCUGAUGGCAAGGGAGGCUGGAAAUGGAAGUCUUUGUCCUGGGCAGCAAUGGGGCCAAUGAAAAUUGGGGGAUUCUAUUACUAAGGAAGAAGAGAAGGAUGGAUAUUGACAAAUGACCAGGAAUCUGUGCCUGAAGACCCCAAUACUUCAAAGCCAUUUGGGAAUGAGAUCAUAUCCAUGAUCCUCUCUGGGUCUCAGUCUUCUCCUCUGUAAGAUGAAGGGCUUUGCACUUGUGGAAAUAAAUGAAGACUACCCAAAUGAGAAGAAACAGGCUGUUUAUUUAGAGCUUGCCAUAGCAAAGGAUCAGCCACUAUCACCUGCACCUGGCAGAGACCCAAAGGCAUGAAGGGAUUAAGAAAGCUUUACGAUGAGAAGAAAAAAAAUGAAAGCUUCAGAUGACAUGAUCUGAUAUGUAGAAAAUCCUAAGAAAUACACUAAAAACCUAUUGGAAUAAAUGAAUUCAGCAAAGUUUCUGGAUACAAUCAGAUCAAUAUACAAAAAUCAAUAUUUCCAUACAUGAUCCAUAAAAGGAAAAAACUGAUAAACUGGACUUCAUCAAAACUGAAACCUUAAAAAACAAACAAACAAACAAAAAAAAAAAAACAAAAAAAAACCCUGAAACCUUUUGCUUGGUGAAAGACCCUAUUAAGAGGAUGAAAAGACAGGCUACAGGCUGGGAGAAAAUAUUUGCAGACAACUUAUUUCAAAAUGUACUCCCAUCUAGAAUACACAAAGAACUCUCAAAACUCAAUAGUAAAAGAAACCAAACAAUCCAACUAGAGAGUGAGCAAACAUUUCACCAAAGAGGACAUACAGAUGGCAAACAAGCACGUGAAAAGACAUUCAAACAUCAUUACCUAUUAGGGAAAUGUAAAUUAAAACCAUGAUGAUUUAUCACUACACAACUAUUAGAACAGCUUAAAAAAGUGUUUUUUUUUUGUUUUUUUUAAAUUUACUUAUUUUUGGCUGUGUUGGGUCUUCGUUUCUGUGCGAGGGCUUUCUGUAGUUGCGGCAAGCGGGGGCCACUCUUCAUCGCGGUGCGCGGGCCUCUCACUAUCGCGGCCUCUCUUGUUGCGGAGCACAGGCUCCAGACGCGCAGGCUCAGUAGUUGUGGCUCACGGGCCCAGUUGCUCCACGGCAUGUGGGAUCUUCCCAGACCAGGGCUCGAACCCGUGUCCCCUGCAUUAGCAGGCAGAUUCUCAACCACUGCGCCACCAGGGAAGCCCCAAAAAGGUGUUUUUUAAGUGACAAUUCUAAAUGCUAGUGAGAAUCAGAGGAACUAGAUCUCUCACACAUUGCUGGUGGGAAUAUAAAAUGGUAUGGCCACUAUGAAAAAGAGUUUGGCCAUUCUUAAAAAACAAAACAUACAUUUACCAUUCAAUCUAGCAAUCUCACUGCUUGGCAUUCAUUCUAGAGAAAUGAAAGCUUAUGCCCACACAAAAACAUGUACAUGAUGGGUAUAUACCUCUAAGUAUUGAAAGCAGGGACCUGAAAAUCUAUUUGUACCCCAUGUUCAUAGCAGUAUCAUUCACAACAGCAAAAAGGUAGAAGCAACCUAACUGUCCAUUGGCAGAUGGAUAAACAAAAUACAGUAUAUACAUACAAUGGAAUAUUAUUCAGCCUUUAAAAAGAAAGGAAAUUCUGACACAUGCUACACAAGGAUGAACCUUGAGGACAUUAUGUUAAGUGAAAUAAGCCAAUUACAAAAGGACAAACAUUGUAUGAUUCUACUUAUAGGAGAUAGUUAAUCAAAUUCAUAGAGACAGAAAAUAGAAUGGUGGUUGCCAGAGACAGGAGAGAGAAAGGAAUGGGGAGUUUCUGUUUUGCAAGAUGAAAAGAGUUCUGGAGAUGGAUGGUAGUGAUGGUUGCACAACAAUGUGAAUGGACUCAGUGCUCUGAACUGUACACUUAAAAAUAGUUAAG